rnacentral:sRNA from 2 species
GCGGGGAGGGGUAAUGGUUUUCUUUUGACUCUGGGGUCUGGAUUUAAAUGGUGCUGUUGGAGGUGAGGGUUGUCUUCGAUACGUCAGUGUAUAUAGUAGUGAAUGCUUCAAGGACGUGCGCGAGGAAAUGAGGCUGCGUGAUAAACCCUGUAUAUUUUUAAAAGGGGAAUAUGCAUUUCUCGAACUGAAGGGGUCCUUUCCUUUCUGAAUAGUGAAAUCCCCAUCAAUAGAGAUCGAAAAUUUAAUUGCAAAAGGCCAUUGCCACUAUCGUUAAACAACAAUAUAAAAUCAUCAAGUGGGCCC